UACGUAGGGGGGCAAGCGUUGUCCGGAUUUACUGGGCGUAAAGAGCGCGCAGGCGGUCGUUCAAGUCGCGUGUGAAAUCCCUCGGCUUAACUGAGGACGUGCGGAAGAAACUGCAAGGCUCGAGUCCGGGAGAGGGGGGUGGAAUUCCCGGUGUAGCGGUGAAAUGCGCAGAUAUCAGGAAGAACACCAAUGGCGAAGGCAGCUCUCUGGGACGGUACUGACGCUGAGACGCGAAAGCGUGGGGAGCGAACAGG
rnacentral:rRNA from 1 species